rnacentral:rRNA from 1 species
AUGACUCUUGUCGAGAUGGCUCAUACUAUGCUUGAUGAAUACAAGACACCUCCUUGCUUCUGGCCUGAGGCUAUUGAUACAACAUGCCACAUCAUCAAUAGGGUGUAUCUUCACAAAUUCUUCAAAAAUACCUCAUAUGAACUCCUCACUGACAAGAAACCCAAUGUGAGUUAUUUCAAUGUCUUCGGUGCUAAAUGUUGGAUUAGAGGUCCUCAUCACAAUUCUAAAUUUGCACCGAAAGCACAUGAAGGUUUUAUGCUUGGUUACGGAAAUGACUCGCACACCUACAGAGUCUUCAACACCUUUCACCACAAGGUUGUUGAAAAUGUAGAUGUGCGUUUUGAUGAAACUAACGGCUCGCAAAGAGAGCACCUACCUCAUGUGCUAGAUGAAAUGUCACCCGAGGAAUCCAUCAAGUUCAAGGCUAUUGGGGAUGUCAUACCCUCUGAAGAAUCUACUGAAGAAGUCAUUCCAGAACGUAAAGAAAAUCAUGUUGGUGCACCUGAGGAAAAUGGCUCUGAAGAAAAUACUAAGCCCAAUCAACGUCGUCAACCUGCUCAUCCUCACAUUGCAAAUGAAGUACAGAUCAAGAAAAUCAUCGACAACAUCAAAGCACCAGGUCCUCUCACACGCUCAAGAGCUUCACAUUUGUCUAACUUCUGUGGGAACUUUGCUUUUGUCUCUAUCACAGAUCCCAUCAAAGUUGAUGAGGCAUUUUUGGAGCCAGAGUGGAUUCAAGCGAUGCAAGAGGAAUUACAUCAAUUCGAGAUCAACAAUGUCUGGAAACUUGUCAAGCGAUCAGACCCACACAAGCGCAAUAUCAUCGGUACAAAAUGGAUCUACUGCAACAAGCAAGAUGAAAAUGGCCUUGUGGUGAGGAAUAAGGCUCGUCUUGUAGCUCAAGGCUACACACAGGUUGGAGGAAUUGAUUUUGACGAAACUUUUGCACCCGUUGCUAGACUUGAGGCUAUCGCAUAUUGCUUGCUUAUGCUCAGCAUCAUAAUAUCAUCUUAUAUCAAAUGGAUGUGA